UACGUAGGGGGCAAGCGUUGUCCGGAUUUAUUGGGCGUAAAGCGCGCGCAGGCUGCUCACCAAGUCGGUCGUGAAAUCUCUCGGCUCAACUGAGAGGGGUCGGGCGAAACUGGUGGGCUCGAGGUCAGUAGGGGGAAGCGGAAUUCCCGGUGUAGUGGUGGAAUGCGUAGAUAUCGGGAGGAACACCAGUGGCGAAGGCGGCUUCCUGGACUGAAACUGACGCUGAGGCGCGAAAGCGUGGGGAGCGAUCCGG
rnacentral:rRNA from 1 species